AUGCUGAUCUUUAUUUUGUCAAGGUAGAUGAUAGAACAGUAUAAAAUAAAACAAGAGGAAUGCAAACAGCUACUUUGUGCUUACCAGUAAGUUUUCUCUCUAUGGAGGCAGUAACGACAGCAGCCCAGACAGUUUCUUAAGGCUUUUCCUGCUCUUCUGUGCCCUCUAUUUGAUCAUCUGCCAAGGCCUAUGAAUAGUGCCAAAUCAAACAGCACAGCAUCUCUAUAAGUCUGCUCUUGGAAGCUAAGGAAUUCAGCAGUUGGAGUGCAAUGCCAGAUAUAAAAGAAGCAAUUAUAGUGGACUGCCAGGAGUUUAGGUUCUGAAGUUCUGUAAAAACUUUGAAGCCUGUUUCUACUAGCACUGGAAACUGAAGUUCAUCUGUGAAACAGAACCUUUGCAGAGAAGGAACUACAGCAGUUUUGGAGUACAGGAGACCACCUUCAUCUUUGAGCAUGAAAAGGACUCUACCCUGGAGUCUAGAGAGCCAGAGUCCACUGAUACCAAUUUAACACAAACAGCAUGCUUAAAUUCCACACGAAGGGACAGGGAAAAUCCAAUUAAACCUGGAAGUUGAUUACAGCAUGGCAAGAUUAGCAAAGAAAUGGGAAAAGUCCAUCUAGAUUUUACUGCCUUUCCUUGUAAAGACUCUUUUUGAUUUUAUGUGUAAUUGCAAAAUACAUGUAGGAUGAAAUUUUAAAAGAUGGUUAAAUAAAGGAAAUAGUUUCAUAAGGAUUUCAUUUCAGAAAAGGAAUUAUUAAGCUGUCAUUGGCUAUAUACAGAGUUUGAUUUCAGGGUCCGUGUAACAAUACUGUAUUUGUAAAAACAACAGAAGCUUAGUUUUAGGAUAGAAUGGGAUAAAGUGUUAUUUUAGGAAGGGAAUGAUACUCAAAAAUUGAAAUUGAGUUGAAGAAAACAAUACACGAUGUGUGUGGCACUGAGUGAAGUUAGUGGAAACCAAUGUCUUUCAGUAAAAAAUAUGACCCAUUAAUCUGAAAGAGGGCAAGAUUAGAACUGUGCACGUAAAGCAGUGGUGUAAAUGCAAAUAGUAAUCUAAAUGAUAACAAAAG
rnacentral:lncRNA from 1 species